AGUGAACGCUGGCGGUAGGCCUAACACAUGCAAGUCGAACGGCAGCACAGUAAGAGCUUGCUCUUACGGGUGGCGAGUGGCGGACGGGUGAGGAAUACAUCGGAAUCUACUUUUUCGUGGGGGAUAACGUAGGGAAACUUACGCUAAUACCGCAUACGACCUACGGGUGAAAGCAGGGGAUCUUCGGACCUUGCGCGAUUGAAUGAGCCGAUGUCGGAUUAGCUAGUUGGCGGGGUAAAGGCCCACCAAGGCGACGAUCCGUAGCUGGUCUGAGAGGAUGAUCAGCCACACUGGAACUGAAACACGGUCAAGACUCCUACGGGAGGCAGCAGUGGGGAAUAGUGGACAAUGGGCGCAAGCCUGAUCCAGCCAGACCGCGUGGGUGAAGAAGGCCUUCGGGUUGUAAAGCCCUUUUGUUGGGAAAGAAAAGCAGCAGGUUAAUACCACGCUGUUCUGACGGUACCGAAAGAAUAAGCACCGGCUAACUUCGUG
rnacentral:rRNA from 1 species